GAAAUUUAGAUAAAAAUUGAAGGAAACAAGUAUUUUGAAACUCUUAUGUUAAUAAAUCUUUAUUUCAUAAAAUUCUGAAACUUGAAAAACUGCUCUGAUUUUGUUAAAAUUUUUGAUAUAUUAUAGCACUUUGGAAACUGUAUCGACUUGCCUAAACAUGAAGAUCGAUAAAGCCAUAUUUACUAAUCAAUUUGGAGUUCCUCUUCCAUCUGACAAUCCUUAUGUUGCAUUACACGAUUUCGUGUAUGAUUUAGAAGUAGCCAUUCCAGAAGACGAAUUUGAAGCAUUUAAAGAACAAUUGGCAAAUCCUAGAAAUUCUUGCAUGUGAAGUUCGGGAAAGCAUAAGUAAAAAAGAUAGUAUAUUUCAAACUUACGAAAUGCUUCAAGAGCUUAAAGAUGGUCAAAGUAGCCUCAGAGAAGAUCUGAAUCAUCUUAGCCAUGGUCAAAAUGUUCUCAAAAAAAAUAUGGUUUAUUUGAAUGGAACAUUUGAGUGCAUUAGUAACGUUAUUAGAGCCAAUAACCAGAUACUGAUGCUAGAAUUUGGAAAGUCGAAUCGGAAGUAAACGAAUUGAAAGUCUCAGCUCAAAGAUCCGAAGAAAUUCUCAAUUAUAAGUCUGCCAAACAAAUGAAUUCAAAUUUAUCUACCAUAUACAGGGUUCUCCCUCUGAUAAAGAUAUUCCUGAUGAAUAUCAGAAAUUGCCUUAACUGAAAGCUAUAUCAAGGAUUGUUGUGGUUUGUCACAUUUUUGACGAGAAUUAUUUCAUAAGGUUUAUUUAAAAAGGAACUAGAAAGAUUUGGAUGAAUUUGUUAUGAAAAAUAAAGCUUAUGAUUGUUUGUGGAACAUCAAUAAGGCACUUCAAAAGCACCGAAUAACCUCAAAAUCUAGCUCUUAUCAAUCUUAAAGGCAAUUUUUUACUGUUUAAAUCAUCUUGAAUAUUUUCUUAUAUUUCCUUUCAACGAUUUAGCAUAGUUAAUUAUCAUCACUCAACCAAAUUUCUUUAGCAUUAUAAACAAGCCAUUGCGAAGUGUGUUUUGUCCUUGGAAUUUAAUGGAUUAACUGUUAGCAUUUAUUUUAUUU